rnacentral:tRNA from 1 species
GAGGAUGCAGCUUAGUGAAAGUGUUUGCUUGGCAUGCAUAAGACCAUGGGUUCAAUUCUUAGCAUCCCUG